AGCUCAGGAGUUUGAGACCAGCCUGGGCAACACGGUGAAACCCCAUCUCUACUAAUAUACAAAAAAUUAGCCAGACGUGGCAGCCUGCGCCUAUAUAGUCGCAGCUACUUGGGAGGCUGAGGCAGGAGAAUUGCUUGAACCUGGGAGGUAGAGGUUGCUGUGAGCUGAGAUUGCUCCACCGCACUCCAGCCUGGACAACAGAGCAAGACUCCGUCUCAAAAAAAAAAAAAAAAAUAGAACCCUCUAUAAUGCUUGAUUUAAUAACAUAUUAGACUAUUGUAUGUCCAGGAAAUAUGUAAGUUCUCUCUGUAAAUCUGCUGCCUUUCAUUGCAGCAAAUCUUUGCAUAUACAUGCACAUAGAGCACAUGGUUUGUAUUUUAUUUUUGUGAAAUGUAAAUAUCCACCUAUCCUCUAUCUCAAUUAUCAGUUGCUGCAUAACAACCAUUCCAAUGUUCAGGGCUUUAAAACAGUAGCUAUCAUUUAUUUGCUCCCGAUUCUGAGAUUUGUGCAGGACUUGGCAGUUUGCUCCACAUGGCAUCAGCUGGAGCAGCUUGACUGGGGUUGGAUGAUCCACUUCCAAGGUGGCCUAUUCACAUGACUGGUACAUUGGUGCUAGUUG
rnacentral:lncRNA from 1 species